UUAUUAUUAUUAUUAUUAUUGAAACUAAGGCAACGAUCUGGCAAAAGCGUUAGCACGCCGGGCGAAAUGCUUAGUAGUAUUUCGUCUGCCGCUACGUUCUGAGUUC